CUUGAACGUAUCCCAGCAGAAACAGGCUGCAGAGGAUCCAGAUUCGUAUCAUUGUAUUCAUGGUCCGCUGGCACUUGACACUUUACUCGCGGCAGGAUACACCUCUUCGUCACUAACUGAUCUCCGUUUGUAUCACGACCACAUUCACACACCUUGUUGUCGACACACGGCAACUCGCGUUCACGAUUCUCUUACCGCCGGAAAUGGGAUACUAGCCGCGAUAUAGACUUGGAUAUAUCGGAAGGAAGGAAACGCAACGUGCGUUAAAACUACACGAUUCACGGGACAAGGCGUACUGGUCGCGCCUGUGCCAGUUAUCUCCGUCGCCUCAUUGCCGCGAAAGGGCCACCUUCCAUCGCAUCGCUUCGAACUGGGUUAAUACACGGGAAACGAUUGUUUGUAGCGUUAGUCCGCCGAUACCAAACGGUUCUAGGUUGCGCAUCGCGCAAUUUCGUAUCGAUACCUCCGAGUUCCCACUAAUUCUCCG
rnacentral:misc_RNA from 1 species